AGUGAACGCUGGCGGUAGGCCUAACACAUGCAAGUCGAACGGCAGCACAGUAAGAGCUUGCUCUUACGGGUGGCGAGUGGCGGACGGGUGGGGAAUACAUCGGAAUCUACUUUUUCGUGGGGGAUAACGUAGGGAAACUUACGCUAAUACCGCAUACGACCUACGGGUGAAAGCAGGGGAUCUUCGGACCUUGCGCGAUUGAAUGAGCCGAUGUCGGAUUAGCUAGUUGGCGGGGUAAAGGCCCACCAAGGCGACGAUCCGUAGCUGGUCUGAGAGGAUGAUCAGCCACACUGGAACUGAGACACGGUCCAGACUCCUACGGGAGGCAGCAGUGGGGAAUAUUGGACAAUGGGCGCAAGCCUGAUCCAGCCAUACCGCGUGGGUGAAGAAGGCCUUCGGGUUGUAAAGCCCUUUUGUUGGGAAAGAAAAGCAGCAGCUUAAUACCCCGCUGUUCUGACGGUACCCAAAGAAUAAGCACCGGCUAACUUCGUG
rnacentral:rRNA from 1 species